GAUGAACGCUGGCGGCGUGCCUAAUACAUGCAAGUCGAGCGAACGGACGAGAAGCUUGCUUCUCUGAUGUUAGCGGCGGACGGGUGAGUAACACGUGGAUAACCUACCUAUAAGACUGGGAUAACUUCGGGAAACCGUAGCUAAUACCGGAUAAUAUUUUGAACCGCAUGGUUCAAAAGUGAAAGACGGUCUUGCUGUCACUUAUAGAUGGAUCCGCGCUGCAUUAGCUAGUUGGUAAGGUAACAGCUUACCAAGGCAACGAUGCAUAGCCGACCUGAGAGGGGGAUGGCCCCCCUUGAACCUGAGACCCGUCCCAGGCUCUGAGGGGAGGCACCAGCAGGGAACCUUCGGCAAGGGGGGAAAGCCUGACGGAGCAACGCAGCGUGGGUGAUGAAGGUCUUCGGUUCGUAAAACGCUGUUAUUGGGGAAGAACAUAUGUGUAAGUAACGGUGCGCAUCUGAAGGGAACCUAAUAAGAAGGCCAGGCUAAAUUCGGG
rnacentral:rRNA from 1 species